CCUAGUUUGAAACUGUCAAGUGGCUGCUAGGGAAGCCGCUGUGCUUGCAGUGGUUGUGGCGGUGACGCCGGCUGUCGCGGCGAGUCGGGAGUCGAAGUUUGGCGGAGACGGUGACUACCGGUGGCGGGACCCAGGCCGGUUCCUACCAGUCAGUUUUGGGGGCAUUGUCCCUGGAGGUGCCCAGAAAGAGGACACAAGUGAUGCAAACUAAUUGAAUGCAUCCAUGGCCGAGGGACCGGGACAUACUGAGGGCUGACUGCUGUGUGCCCACAGCUGUUCCCAGUGCUUCAAAGUCAACCUCAUGCUCACACAGCUGGCACUGAACUCGCCGACCUUCCUCCCAGUCUCACUGGCCCACAGUCCUUGCUUCGGUGAGUAGCAGAAUACUUCAUCUAGUUACUCUGGACACAGAUAUGUCCGCAUCUGUAGUCCCACUCGGAUGUUUCAAGUGCUCAUUGAUCAUGAGCUCGUAUGGUCACCACUGUAGCACAGCCAUCUCAGAGCCACACCUCAGAGCCCUUGCCAAGGCUGCAUUCACAUUUGUCUCCUAGGUCAGUUCUGAGGAGAACCUUUACUGCUUGGAUUACUAUAGUUGGCUCCCGAUGGACUGGACUCUAGGUUUAGAAUCCCAGUCCGUCCCAAAGCUUUCAGAGUAACGUUUCUUCUCUUAAAAUAUCAGUCUUUUAAAAGGGCAGUGUUCGGAAAUGUAGCUGUACAGUAAAG
rnacentral:lncRNA from 1 species